AUGGGGGAGGGCACAGUGUUGAUGGCGUCGGGCGGGCUGUUGUCACUCUUCAAGGUCUGUGGGCUGUCUGCUAUGUGUGUCAGAUAGUGGCAGAGUAGAUGUGUGGGGGAGGCUGUAGUCUGGCCUCUUCUCAACCUGUGCUCUGACUGUGGCCUGUGCGUCAGACCAUGGCGGGGUAGAUUUGUGGGAGAGCGAGAAGAGAAGAUUGUCCCUUACCAGUUUUGAGCCUAACCUGUUUGGGUGUAGGUAGAUAUUUGCUCCCCCAGAACAAGUUGAAUUGAAAAGCCCCUUCCUCUUUCAUUGCAGACUCUGUAAAGCCAUGUAUUCAGUGCAAGUAGACGACUGAAUCUGUUUAUUCCCCUGUCAACUGCUGGUAUGGGUCCACUGAUGAAUGACUUAAUGUGUAUUUUGUCCAGUGUGCCCAAUAGAUCAGUGUAAUCCCUCUUCAGUUCCGUUUUGACAGAAACCAAGACCCUGUCUAAUGAAACUACGUCCUGUCUGAUGAAACUACGCCCUGUCUAAUGAAAUGAUGGAGUCCUGACUCACGGUUCAUUGACCGACUCUGCUCUGAAACCAGAGCAGAAACAACGAAGACCACCAGGGAAAGACCAGCCAAUCAGAAGAGAUUCAAAUAGUACUUAGUUAAUACUGUAAUACUAAUAAGUUCAUACUUUUUAGAUUUGGACACACUCAAGCAAUAACAAUAACACAAUAAUUGACUCUAAAGUUCCUUUGAAAGGCGACCCUACAUCAGACACUGUGAGUCCUGGACGCCUGUGAACCUGUGAACCGAGAGUGGAGAGGAGUAUCUCUCUGAGUGCCCUCUCCCUGGCCCCCUGAGCUCCCCUCUGAGUGCCCUCUCCCUGGCCCCCUGAGCUCCUCUCUGAGUGCCCUCUCCCUGGCCCCCUGAGCUCCUCUCUGAGUGCCCUCUCCCUGGCCCCCUGAGCUCCUCUCUGAGUGCCCUCUCCCUGGCCCCCUGAGCUCCUCCCUGAGUUGUCCUCUCCCUGGCCCCCUGAGCUCCUCUCUGAGUCCCCUCUCCCUGGCCCCCUGAGCUCCCCCCUGAGUGUCCCAGCGAUGUGCGUCAGUGGGCGAGGGUUCCUGUAGAGCGGUGAUCUGUGAUCCGGGGACGCGUAGCGGCGUUCCUGGCAGCGUGGGUGCUGCCAGUAAACGGCCCUCAUCCAUUCAGCCUCCUCCUUCUGCUGAAUCCGUGUGUGUUGGCGUGUCCGUGUGUUUGUCUUCAUGUAAGUAUGUGUGUGUUUGUUUACAUGUGUGUGUGUGUGUGUGUGUGCGGGCGGUGUGUGUUUGUUUAUAUGUGUGUGUGUGUGUGUUAUAUGUGUGUGUGUGUGUGUGUGUUUAUAUGUGUGUGUGUGUGUGUGUGUUUAUAUGUGUGUGUGUGUGUGUGUGUGUUUAUAUGUGUGUGUGUGUGUGUGUUUAUAUGUGUGUGUGUAUGUGUGUUUAUAU